GUUCUUCUAUUGGAUUAGUCUCAGUACUAACGUCUGCUUUCAAGUUCAUAUAUUGGCUAGCAUCAGUACUAGCCUCUUUCAUCUGGUCUUGAUAUAGGUCCUUAAGAAUCCUAUCACUUUUAAGCUCAGAGAUUACUUUAUUAUUUUUAAAUUGAGGAUUCUUAGAUGGGACAUUUGAUUGAUGACUAGGUCUAGGUGGUUGAUGGGGGUGGGUUGUUUUUGAAAUUUGGUAUUAGUUGGUUCGACAAUUGGCCUAGUUUUCCCC
rnacentral:lncRNA from 1 species